rnacentral:pre_miRNA from 8 species
GCCUGUCGGUACUGUAGCAGCACAGAAUGGUUUGUGAGUUAUAACGGGGGUGCAGGCCGUACUGUGCUGCGGCAACAACGACAGGA